GCCCUGGCUAUGAGCAGAGAUGGCUGUAGCAGCAUCUGAAGGGGCCUCUCCUAACCUCACUAGAUACCACAGUAUGGCAACGAGGGCAAAGGUGGUCAGGAACCUUUCAAGAGAGCUCUGCCUUUUGUAUGUGAGCCCACCAUGAAGAGACCCACCAAGAUGCGCUCUACCAAGAAGCACUCUAUCAUGAGGUGUUCCACCAAGAAGGCUCCAUCAUAAAGUGCUCCACCAUGACAUGUUCCACCAAGAUGCUCUCCCCCAUGAGGGGCUCCACCAUGAAGGGCUCCACUGUGAGGGGCUCCACCAUGAAGGGCUCCACUGUGAGGGGCUCCACCGUGUGCUGAUUUGGUUGAAGCCAAACUAGUUCUUGCAAAGCCAGCAUUAUACUAUUCAGAAUUUUAGUCUCCAUAAUAGUGAAAUAAUAAACCUUGUUCACUUAGGAAGCAUCAGCCUGAAAUAUUUCAUCAUAGUAACAGAAAGUGAACUAACCUAAUACCAAGACUUAAAACAAACAUGAGACAGAGGUAAUGAAAAACUGAAGAGCACUGUCUGUGCUUGAUGAUGCCAUAGCAUAUCAAAAGUACUGAAAAUGAAGUCAUGCCCCAGGACAUCUGCUUCGGGACUGACUGCUGGGUGUCAAGCUAAAGCUUGAUGCCAUGAUGAAAGAAGCAUCUGCCACCGCAUCUGACCACACCCUCACCAAGCCAAUUGAUGAAACUUAGAACCACAAAGGAGACAAACUCUGGGCAAGUCUGUGAUAGGCUUUCCUGGGGUGGGAAGACCCAGUCUGCAGGUGGGCAGCAUCAGCGUAUGGACUAGUGUCAUCACAGACUUAAUUUAAAAAAGAAAAAUUCUUUGUCUCUGUUUCCUGACAACAGACACAGUGUCGCCAAUGGUCCUGCCACUCCCAGCCAUGAUGGCCUGUGGCCAUCCUCAACCAUGAGACAAAACAAACUUUUCUUCCCAUCAGCUGCUACUGUCAGGGUUCGAUCACAAUCUGGAGAAGAACACAACUCAUGCGGUCUCCAGCAGUAACAUCUGACUGCGGUCUUUACGCGGGAAAAGAGGGUAAUGAAGGAUUGGAAAGACAGGGCCUUCAGUUCUGAGACAGCCCCCAGCCUGACCUCCCCACCACCGUGGAUCCAGACUUAAAGUGCACAGAGUGGCACAUUUGGGGGUUGCUGCAUGAUGGCUCAAUUUUGUCCACACCAGUUCUAAUGUUGAGCCUCUUGCUACUAGCGUUGGCUCUAAACCCUAAUGUACUCUCCCAUAAAUUAGUAAAAUGUUAAAAAGUAGAACCCAAUAAACUGUAGAAAGGCGCCUGUUUUCUGCCAUUGACUGAAAAAGAAGAGGGAAGAGCAAUGUGGACACUGUUUUUACUACUACUGGAUACAGCAUGGCUCCUGCUUCCUCUCGUCAUCUGUCAAAACACACCCUGAUACCAUCUGCAGACUGCCACAGCUACUUCAGCAACACCAGACAGACAUGGGUAACAUCAAAUGCCAAGGCACACCAACCAUUUGCACGUUCUCCUCAGCAGAAAGAGCAAGCAUAGCCUUUGCUAACCCCUAACCUAGUACCUGCCUUUAUAAGCUACCUCUCUUAACUUACAAGUGCCAUAGCUCCACAGCCUCAGGACUGACCUGUGUCUGUAGGGAAGACAGAGAACCAGCUAUGGGAACACUGAAAAUGCAAUUCUAGACUGCUGAUGUUAUGAACCACAGAACAGUGAAAUACGCGAGAAAAACCACAAAUCCACCUCUGUGUGAACAAAUGUGACAAACUGGAAAAACCCAGAGAACAUUGUGGUAGUUAUCAAAAUGGACACAGCAAGAAGAAAGCUUGACCAGGUGGCAUCAGAGAAAAUCAGAAUGACAGAGAACUGACUUUUCUAAGGUUCUAGGCCUAGGGACUUUUGA